GACAGAAAAGCCCUAUGAAGCUUUACUAUAACUUGACAUUGACUUUGGGCUCCUUUUGCGCAGUCUAGGUGGGAGGCUUUGAUAUCUUGUUUCCGGGCAAGAUGGAGCCGUUUUUGAGAGACCACUCUGAAAGAGCUAAAAUUCUAAUAGUGAUCCUUGAAUCAGGACACUUGACAGUGUCAGGCGGGUAGUUUUUCUGGGGCGGAAACCUCCUAAAAAGUAACGGAGGUGCGCAAAGGUUCCCUCAGGCUGGACGGAAAUCAGCUGUAGAGUGUAAAGGCAUAAGGGAGCUUGACUGCAAGACCUACAAGUCGAGCAGGGGCGAAAGCCGGCCUUAGUGAUCCGACGGUACCGCGUGGAAGGGCCGUCGCUCAA
rnacentral:rRNA from 1 species